CUUAGUUUUAUUUUUUUGACCAAACACUGUUUGGCUAGUAGAAUAAGAAAUUGUAUUUUAAAUAUUAGCAUAAUACAUGGAUGAUGUUAUUGUUUAUGUAUUUGGAGGUUUCAGUAUAUAUUCGGUACCUAGAAUAGUUCUUGUAAUAUAAUAAUCAUUAAAUAAAUUCUUGCCAAAUAAAUUAACUAGAAUCGUGUUGAAUGUGCUGUAUUUACAUACUUGGUAUAGAGUCUGUCUACUUCACAAAGGAUGUGUGUAGGCUUAAAAAAUGUAUGUACAAUGAAAAAUUAAAAUAAAUAGAUGAGAGAAUUAGGGCAAAACACAGAAAUGCAGAUUUAUAGUUGCUAGAUUUUAGAGGCUGGUAGGAAAUCUUGGUGGUUUAGUCAUUAAAUGCUAAGGCUGCUAACCAAAACGUUAGCAGUUUGAAUCCACCAGGCACUCUUGUAAACUCUAUGGGGGCAGUUCUCUGUCUUAUAGAGUUGUUAUGAGUUGGAAUUGACACAAAAGAUUUUUUUUUUUCUUUUGGUUUUAGAGGUUGGUAACAAUCAUCUCUGUGCUUCCUAGUGGCCGAAGCAAAGAAGAAAACAGGAUCAACUACAUGGCAUUCAGUGCGCUCUGAAAUAAAAAGAAAAGCAAUUAUUCAGGUGAAUCUCAGUCUUUCUUGACUCAGAAACCUGAGAAUAAUUUCUCUAAUGGGUCCUCAUUUUUACAAUAAACUUCAUUAACACAGAUAUUUAGGGAGGCACUUUGCAAUAUUAUCUGGUAAUAUAACGCUAAUGUGUAAGGCACAUUUCAGUAAUUCAAAAAAUGUCCAAAACAAUACAAUUCAAGCUGGCAGUUCUCUGAUAAGAGACACUGCUAUGGUGAUAAAGAGAACUCACUUUGAGAUCAGAUCAUAAGUCAAUUAUGACUCAUAGGGACCCUACAGAGUAGAACUUCCCCAUAGGGUUUCAAAGGCUGUAGUUUUUACAGAAGGAACUGUGGUGGCACAGAGGUCAAGCACUCGGCUGCUAACAAAAAGUAGGUGGUUUGAAUCCACCAGCAACUCUGUGGGACAAGGAUGUGGCAAUCUGCUUUCCUUAAAGAUUACAGCCUUGGAAACCCUAUGGAGCAGUUCUACUCUGUCCUAUAGGGUUACUGCGAGUAGGAAUCAGCCGUUUGGUUUGGUUUUUGGAAUCUUCAUAGAAGCAGACUGCUACAUCUUUCUCCCUCAGACAGGUUAGUGGAUUUGACUCACCAACCUUUUGGUUAGCAACCAAACACUUAACCACUGAGCCACCAGAACACCUUGGGAUCAGACAGCCUCAGGUAAAUACAAUUCCUCUUACUAUCUGUGACACCUCAGGUACAUAACUUCUCACUAUGGUUCCUCUGCAAAAUGAAGGUAAUUAAUAGCAACCCAUGGCAUUGCUGUAAACAAUUAGGUAAGUGUCUUUGCACAGUGAUAUGAAAUAUAUGCACUCAAUGGUGGGUGGUUAUUUUUAUAAUUAUUGUCUGACUUGUUCCAAAGAAAACAUUUAGAAUCACUGGAGAACUGGAUAUAUGUACUCAGACAUUUCUUCAUAAAUCCUAACUCUCAUAAUGAAGCUUUUAAUGAGGAGCUAUACAGGAGAAGUUUGAAGGUGUCCUUUCGGUCAAGAACCUGAAGUGUAGAUAUUUAACCAAUCACUGAGUAAGAAGAGGUAGAGGGUAGGGGUGAAGUUCUCUUACUAAGACAAGUGUCUGACGGAAUGUCCACCCAACUUUCAGAAAGAGGGGUGAGGGGAUUAGCCAGAGGCAGAGCUAAAAUUCUCCUCAGAAAACACUUCUCACUCUGCUCCAAUGUGGAGAUUAGUAGUAACUGAGGCCAUAACUGCAAACUAUUUGGUCUAGGCAUUUUUCAAAGCAAAAGUUACCAAUUGUUUAUGUGGCCGAAGAAAUAUUUCACAAAAAGGUACCCAUAGAACAUAUAAUUUCAAGCAAUAUGGCAAAAUAGUAAGCCCUCUCAGAUAAAUACAUUGCAAACAUUACACCCUGGUAACCUAAGACCAUAGGACUCAUAAGAAUAGCCGGACUCUGGUCUUCUGCUCUCUCCUGUGCAAAUAACUAUGGAUUGUUUUGAAAGGACCAAAGUGACACAAUGUUAUAAAGCAUGAUACUUUGAAUGAGAAAAGCAAUAAACUACAGUUGCCCUGCUGUGUCAGAAAAAAAAAAAAAAGUAUUAUUUAGUUAACUUAGGUACUUGGAAAAAGUCAUUAAAUGUUUAUAUUCUCCUAUCUCCUGCUUUCUUACUGGUUUUAUUUGUAUUUGAGAGGUCUAUAGUAGAGGAAAUAUUGCUCACUAGAAUAUAAGCUCCAUGAAGGUGGCCAUUUUUUGUUCUGUUUGUUUUUUCUGUUUUGUUACUGUUGUAUUCCCAUUGUGUAGAAUGGUUCCUGGCCUGUGGUAGGUACUAAUAUACCAUUGUUGAAUGAAUAAAUGAACUAGAUGCCUUGAAGUGCCAGAUUCACCAUUUGUAACUCUGCACAUGGAGAGCAAGAACUUCAUGUCUCAGAGUUUCAGUUUCCUGUGAAAAUUGGAGAAAAUAGCUUCAAAGUAGUCCUAAUCAUUAAUUAACAUGUAUGAGAAAGUGUUUUCAGAUAGUAAUGAACUCUUCAAACAUGCAUUAUUCUAUGAGUCUAGGUUUUUUUUGUUUUUUGUUUUUUUUUCCUUUUCUGGGCAUGGACUGACUGAAGGUUGUUGUAGCUUAAGUAUAAUAAGAAUAGUAAACUGUGGAUUGGUCUUUGACUCACCUCCUUCCACAUACUGACUAAUAAGAAAUUGUAGAUGGGGAACAUAGGGGAAAAAUGUAGAUGUUGGGGUCACCAAUGCAUUACACAUGGCCUCAUGCUUAGCUGGCUGACCAAUAUGAGAUUCAGAAUUUCCAAGUAGUUAGCUGGCUUACAUCACAGGAGCAUUUGUGGCAGAAAGACUGGGAUCAUGGGAAACCUAGUAAAAAAAAAAAAAAACCCGUAAACCUGUUGCCAUCGAGUCGAUUCCAACUGGUAGUGACCCUACAGGACAGAAUAGAACUGCCCCAUACAGUUUCCAAGAAGCGCCUGAUGGAUUCAAACUGCCAACCUUUUGGUUACCAGCGGUACUUCUUAACCACUAUGCCACCAGGGUUUCCAUGUGAAACCUAGUGGCAGUAUAAUAAUGAGUAUAAUUUCAAAGAUGAACAUAAAUGAUAUAUAGAGAUAUUUACAACAAUAAUGUAGUUUGAAAUGCGAUUUCUAGUGAUGAUGAAGUUGUAUAUUUUGCUAAUAUCAUAAACCAGAAAACCAAACCCAUUGCUGUUGAGUGAAUUUUGACUCAUAGCUACCCUAUAGGACAGAGUAAACUGCCCUAUAAGGUUCUAAGGAGCGCCUGCUGGAUUUGAACUGCCAACCUUUUGGUUAGCAGCUGUAGCACUGAACCACUAAACCACCAGGUUUUCUGCUAAUACCAUGGUGUAGCCUAAUUUUAUAAUGCAAGGAAGUGCUAAAUUUCAGUUAGAGAUUAGUGAUACAGAGCUAUAGGUUUCCCUUUUCUCGAGAUAAGAACCCCUGCACUACAUCAUAAGCUUCUUAAGACUGGAAAGCUCUGAUAAAGCUUUGUACUCUUAACAACAUCAUACUCUGUGUCUUCUUCAUAAUCCAGGUAAAAUUAUUUUUUUACUUAAUAAAUAAUCUUUCCACUGACCCCUCCUUCUACUUUUCCUAGCGCAUUUGAAUAGAUUUAAUGGAAGCAAGGGUAGAGAAACUGGUCAAGAUUGCAAGUGACCACAGGACUAGUCAAGCCAAUUCACAAAAGUGAGAAUGACUUCUACUGUUGCCCAUUCCUGGAGCUUCUUACUAGGCACCAAUUCUACCUGGUAGAACAGGUGACAUGGACUCAUGAAUAUAUAGUUUAUCUACACUUGGAGUACCCAUGCCAGAAGGAGAGGCAAGGGUUCUGUUAUGUGAACUAUGGACCAACAAUGUUGAUGUCAACUGGGAGCCUUUUAGAAAUGCAGAAUCCCAGGCCCUUCCCCAGACCUACUGAGCUAGAAUCUGCAUUUUAACAAGAUCCCCAGGUGAUGUGCGUGCACACUGCAGCAUGAGAAGCUGUACCACUCAAGCCAAGCUCUCUUCUGUAUUGAUCACAGAGCAGUGUCUUCCCUCCUGACCUCAGCCUUCUCCACCCCCCUCCCUGCACAAAUGCCUCCCCACUCCUAAGUACUGCUUAUUUUAUCUGCAUGUGGCCUUACUUAUUACAAAAUCAUUAAGAUUAGAAUGGUGCUGAUGGCACCAUGAAUUUAGCUGGAACCUCUCUCCAUUUGGACUAACUUCAACUGUGAACUUGGCUUGCUUCACUUUGGUUGAUCCCAAGAAUGUGAACAUUCUGCAACCAAUUUCUCUUUAUCUAGUUUCUCUGUCUCAACGCCUUGCUGGAAAAUAUAUAUUCUUCAGAACUCCUGAUGUUACUGAGGACUCCUUCCUCAGUUGAACCCAACCAGAUUCUUGCAGCCCAGUAAGACUAUUGAGGCAACCUGGAGUCACACAAGCGAAUUUACUUUGCCAGCAGCUAGCAAAAUGAGACAGUAAGGGCUAGAACCUCCAGAGAGACUGUCUUACUGAUUUGCCCAUGAACCAAGUAUUUACGGGUUUCAGCAAGGAGGGGAGGAUGGGUUUUGAUGUUUAUUCAUGAGGUUCUGGUGGCGGAUGGGGGGAGGGAGGUGGAGAUUUCUGAGAAGGGCUUAGGAAACCCAAAUGCAGGUGACUGCGCAGGAUUUCGUCUUCAAAAGGGAAGUCCUUUUGUUCUCCUUGACAUAACUCAUUAUGGAAUGUGACGCAGGCUCACUGGUUCCCCUUUGUCACAUCACCCCCUUUGGCAGGCACGGGAAGGACAAACAGUGGUUGUUUUUACUUCUUUUGCACACAUUCUGUACCUGUGGAGUCCUGCAAGAACGGUAUAAACAGUUUAUUUGCAACAUCUUGGAACAUUUCCGUUCAUACCACCCCUCAGGCAGAACAGUUUGCCCACAGGGCCUGUGUGUUCUGUUCUACUCUCCAGGAGGUGGUUUAUGGUUGUACCAGGUUGUUUAGUCCACUCUCUGGCCUGCUUGUCUUUUUCCCAGCCUUUGUGCUGGGGAGGCAGGGGAAAGGGCCCAACUGAUCCUGUUCCAGCGAGUCCUGUCUCACUGUCUCACUGACAACAUGUUUUUAAUCUAAUAUGUUGCCUUCUUUCAAUACAAUAAAUUUCCGUUCUGGUCAGCACUACCCAAAUAUUCCUACCACUCUGUAUGUCUUUUUCUCCCUAUAAAAAGAAGCUCGUUUCUUUGUUCCCCCCACUUCCUUCUCUCCUGACUAUCUCAUCCUGGCAGUUUGCUUAGACUCAGCAGUUAAGACCAACAGUCUCCAGCUCACACACAGGUACAUUACACAAGUUUGUUUUAAAGCCUGUUAUUCGGGAUCGAAAUGCAGGUCGUAACAGAAAUUAUACAAGUGAUGGUUAGUUUUCAAAAUAACAAACAAAGCAUAUUUAAUCUAUAAUAUUGCUGUGAUACUGUUCAUUUGCAAUGAAAGGGGAAAAGCAAUGUUAUUGCAGUACAAACUAAACGAUAAUAACAAUAGUCACUAUUGCAAUAAUAACUAAACAAGAGAAAAAACUUAUAAUAUUGAACGAGAAAUAAUGGCACACGCAUUUUAAAUUUCCUUUAACUAAAGAAGCGUGAGAGAGCCGUCUAAAAUGUUUGGUUCUUUGUUUCUGGAUAUAAAUGUAUCCAGGUCCCCUGGACGUUACUCAAGCCCUCCUCCCAACUUCUGUCCCUACCCUCUGAGGAUUUGCAUGGGUCAGGAAAAAAUAAAGCCCUCUCCAUGAUUUUUCUAUGAGUUUUUGACACUAUUUUCUCUUUUUUGUAUCUCUGCAUUCAAACCCACUUUCUAAGUUUAACCUUAUUCUAGUUUUUAAUUUAAAAAAAGUAAAAGAAGAUCUUCUCGCCAAGUAUCUCAUGGUCUCUGUAACUUUACUGAAGAUUUAGAGAUGUCACUGGGGAGGAAUGGAACCACACACUCACCUCACUGGCUCACUCGUCACUCUGAUCCCUCUGUAGUACUUUCUCUCUGGACACGUGGGUCACCAGGAAGUACCCACUCAGCCCAGUUUCCCUUCCUGUCCUACUGCAGCUGCUCUUAAGUGGAGAGUUCUGCCAGGCUCCCUAACUUCCUGGCCCUCUAAGGUUAUCUCUCGCCUAUCAUCCCGCUCCUGUCAGGUAGCCCUCUCCACACAGCUCUCUUUCUCUCUCUGGGAUAUAGACACUGCUUCCUUCAUUGCCCCUCAGGCCUGGAGGUCCAUAGGAGCCCGCUGUUCCUUCUACUUGUUAGAUCCUGCACUAUCAUGUAGAAUCCACAUUCUGCCCACAAUUUCCUGAAUAGUCCUUUUAGUACCAAAAAAACCAAGCCAUUGUCGUGGAGUCAAUUCCAACUCAUAGCCACCCUAUAGGACAGAGUAGAACUGCCCCAUAGGGUUUCCAAGGAGCAGCUGGUGGAUUCAAACUGCUGGCCUUUUGGUUAGCAGCUGGGCUCUCAACUGCUGCGCCAUAAGUUGUCUCCUCAAAUUACUCAAUUUGUGCUUGCGUUUUGUUUUCAGCCAGAGCCCUGGCAGGAGUGGAAUUAUACUUACCAAGUUGUUCUUUAGUCAAGCCCAGAAAUGGAGUGAAUCACAUCAAGCUAAUACAAAAAGGCUUCUCCAGAUCCCGUAUCUGGAUGUCAUCAUCUGACCUCCGGUUCUUGGGACUUGAGCCAAUGGCUUGCCAUAUUGCCUACCCAUCUUGGGAUUCAUUGGCCUCUGCUGAUUGUGAGCCAGCAGCCUGCUGUCUGACCUGCUGACCUUGGGCUCAUCAGCUUCUGCAGCUAUGUUAGUCAAAAGAAGCCUUCAGCCUUCAGCCUGAUCCACGAACUUGGGACUUGCCAGCCGUUUUCUUGAGAUAAAUCUUUCCCUCUACACACAUACAUAAAAAAAAUGCAUAUAUAUGUGUGUGUAUAUAUGCCAUUGACUUGACUCCAACUCAUAGUGACCCCAUACGACAGAGUAGAACUGCCCCAUAGGGUUUUCAAGGCUGUAAUCAUUACAGAAGCAGAUUACCACAUCUUUCUCCUUCAGGGCUGCUGGAUGGGUUCAAGCCACCAAUCCUUUGGCUACAGCUAAGCACUUUAACCAUUGCACCAUCCAGAUGGUCUCAGAUAAGAGAAGAUAACAUAUACCCUUCACUUAUCAACUAUCUCAUUAUCUGACAUUUUGCAUUUAUGACAAUAGUAAAAAAUCUACUAUCCAACUAUUUUGCAGAGUAACAACAGAUGUCUGGCGGUAGCCCUUUUAUGACCAGUUGGACUUACAGUGCCUACCUACAUUUUCCGCCUCUUGGGUCCAGAUAAUAUUUUGUGAUAUAAUGUGGUCAUCCUCUAUUUUCACCUAAUGCUGAUUUUCACGUAAUAACUUGGUCUUUGGAACCUAACUACUGGGAUAAGUGAGGAAUGGGUGGUGGCAUAGUGGUUAAGUGCUACCGCUGCUAACCAAAGGGUCGACGGUUCAAAUCCACCAGGCACUCCUUGGAAACUCUAUGGGGCAGUUCUACUCUGUUCUAUACAGUCGCUACGAGUCGGAUUCGACUCGAGGGCACUGGUUUUUUUUUUUUUUUUUUGAGGUGUAUUCUCCAGACUUGAGAGCUAAUGUAAAUUGUUUUGCUGGGUUUUGGACUUGAUUGGUGCCCAUUAUCCCUUCUUUUCCUCUGAUUUCUCCCAUUUGUAAUGGAAAUGUCUAACUUGUGCCUGUCCCACCACUGUACUUUGGAAACAGAUAACUUGUAUUUUAGAUUUCACAGGUCCACAGAUGAAGAGGAGUUUUCUCCCAGGAUGGAAUAAGCCUAAAGUCUCACUUGUUUUUGAUUUAGAUGAUUCAGAAGGUGAGAUUUUGGACUUGGAGUUGAUUUAAGACUUUUGGGAUGAUAUGUUGGGGUGAAUGUGUUUUGCAUAUGGCAAGGACAUGAAUUUUGGAGGGUAAAAGGGGGCAAUGUUAUAGAUUGAAUUGUGUCCCCCCAAAAUAUGUAUUUUAAAUUCUAACCUCUAUGUCUAUGGUUAUAAUCUCAUUUGGGAAUGGGUUGUCUUUGUUAUGUAAUGAGACAGGAUUAAGGUAGGGUGUGUCUUGAGUCAAUCUUCUUUGAAAUACAGAAAAGAUUAAACAAGCAACUGCAUAAGCAGAGAUUGGAGAAGAGAGAUAUCAAGCCACGUGAAGAUUGCCCAGGAGCAGAAGCUCCGAAGAGACAGGGCCCUUCCUCCAGAGAUGACAGGGAGAGAAAGCCUCCCCCUAGAGCCGGCCCCCUGAAUUUGGACUUCUAGCCUCCAAAACUGUGAAAAAAGAUUUCUGUUUGUUAAAGACACCCACUUGUGAUAUUUCUGUUAUAGCAGUGCUAGAUAGCUAAUACUGGGAUUAAUAAUGGCUUCCAAGUCAUAAAAUUUGUUUUGAGAAUUAACUGAGAUAGUGUAUGUAAGUUAUGAGGCACAGAGUGAGUGCUCAAUACAUACUGACAUACAAUAGGUAUUGAACGACAUCUAACCUGAGCCUGGAAUGUUUGCCUAAGAAAGAACCACGGAAACAUAGGGGAUUAUUCAGGUCUGUUCAAUUUGAUAAAGUCUGUAUUGUUAAUACCCUUUUGAAAUGCUGAGAGCCUCCCUUUCUAGAAACAUACGCAUAACUUGAACCCUGGGGAAAAUAAAAGAAAUUAAAUCAACUAGUCUGUCAACAUCUAUAUGUUUUGUCAUCAGAUGGCUAUAUUAUACUCAUCUGAUAACUGCCGACUAUCCAUUUGACAAGGUUUAUAUAGCUGAAAAGAAAGCAACUGUGUAAGUGAAAUAAGUAGAAAUAAAAAACAAAUUGUUUUCAUACAGAUUUUUUUUCACUAGGCUUGCAUUUUUUUCUCGGAGAAUAUUUGAGUGAGAAUUUAGCUAUAUUUUUUUGAUUUAGGGAAACAGAACACAAUGCAUUUUGUAAUCCCAAAAGUCUAAAGAACAGCCUUGACCGUGUGUUUUUCCCCCAAGGCCUGUGUAUUCCAUAAUUGUAUUUAGUUUAAAGUUUAAAUAUCAAACUCACUAAAAAAAAAACCUAGAUUUUUAAUACCUGUUAAAGAAAAACCCUUGUCUGCAUUUUCAUUGUUUUAUUACAGUCAAGUCUACUGUUCAAGAUUUCUGUAUGGUGAAUUUCUGUGGCUGAGAGAGCAAAUACCAUUCUCUUUGCCUGGGCUGAUGUGGAUGUUAAAAGAAAUGAAACCUGAACAUUUCAGUGACAACAUCGUGGUAUUAUUUAACACUUAUUGAUGCCUAAAAAUGUAGUAGGCUUUAUACAUCAAGUAGAAUUAGGUGUAGCACUUGUCCUUUGCAAUAUUUUUCACCGGACUGACAGGUUGGUAGGAUAAAACCCAAGAAGUAAAGAAUGAGUGGUAGUCACAGAUGAAGUAUAACUGCCGAGGAAGUGAAGUUCUGCCAACAUGGACUCCAUCAUUUCAAAUCCCAGGUAAGAUGAGCCAGGCAAAAUGAAAUCAGGUAAGGUUAUAUCCUUGGUGUCCGUUUUCCACCCUGGCCUCCUUAUUCCACUAAAUCACAGCUAAAAUGUAUCUUAGCUGUUCCUGCCAAUCCGUGUUAAUUAUCAGCUGAUUUUCUUUUCAACAGUUGCUGUGAAGUUGAUUCUGACUCAUGGCAACCCCAUGUGUGUCACAGUAGAACUGUGUUCCGUGGGGUUUUUAAUGGCUGAUUUUUUGGAAGAAGGUUGCCAGGCCUUUCUUCCAAGGUGCCUCUAGGUGGACCUGUACCAUCAACCUUUUAGUUAGCAGUCUAGUGCAUUAACUUUUUAUAUUACCCAGGGACUCCUAUCAGCUGAUAACUACUAAAAAAUUUAUUGAUGGUGGAGGGAGAGGUGGGUAACUUCCUCCGGAGAGCAUUUGCAUAUAGUACAGGGUCAAAUCUCCUCACGACCCCGAGGAAUUAUGCUGUAAAAACUGUGGUUUCAUAGGUGAUGGAAUUGAUAUUUGUGAGCAGGGGUCCCUGGCCAGCUUCUCACUUGAACUUCAUUAGCUUGUUCAUAAGACUGCUUCUGGCUUUAGUUUUAUUCAGGAAAUCUUGAGAAAAGUGGCCCAUGAGAUUACCACAAAGAUAAACAUUUUAAGAAGAGAGCAUAUAGUUAUUUGAUACAUGUUGUUAUUGUUAGGUACCAUGGAGUCAGUUCCAACUCUUGGUGAUGCCACGUAUGUCAGAGUAAAACUGUGCUCCAGAGAUUUUCAAGGCUGUGGCUUUUCAGAGGCAGAUGGCCAGGCCUGCCUUCCGAGGUGCCUCUGGGUGUGUUUGAGCUACUAAUUUUUCUGCUAGAAGUUGAGAACUUAAGUGUUUGUACCACCCAGGGACUCCAUUUAAUAUAUAGAUGUGGAUCAUUAGUUCAACAAAUAUUUACUGUGCAAACAAAACAUUCUUGUCAAAACAUUUUUGUCUAGACAAAAAAUUCUGGUCCUCAGGUGGCUUACAUUCUAGUUAUAGGACAAAGGUUUUUCUAGACAAGUGAUCGGGUGGGAUUAGUUCUUGUGAAAAUGUACAAAGAAUCUAUUGAGUUUUGGUUCUCGGUAUCUUUACGAGAGAAAUAGACGUGUACAAAUAAGUAUGUGUAAGUUGUCAUUGUAGCAUAUUUCUAGAGUGAAAAAUUUGAAGCAAUCUAAAUAUCCACUGAUGAGGGAAUAGUUACAUAGUGGGUAAGAUUUUUGCAGGCCAAAAACCCAGAUAUUAAAAAAAAUUGGUAAUAUUCUUUAUUUUUCUAUAACUCAAGAUAAAGAAGGUAUUAUUGGUCUGAUGGCAGAAAGCUUUAAUCUGGUAACUUCCAGAUACACCUAGUCAAUUCAAGACUUCCUUCUUUCCUCACCCCCCCCCACCCCUCUCUGUAGGAUGUCAUAUAGAUUUCCAGGUCCUCCUUGGAAACUCUAGGGGGCAUAUCUACUCUGUCCUAUAGGGUCGUUAUGACACAGAAUCGACUUGAUGGCAGUGGUUUGGUUUUUGGUUUAAGAGAUCUUCAUGCUUGGUGUAGGGUGGUUAUUCCUUGGUGUCUGCCCACACUGGCAUCUACUGAGGGUUGUGAUUCCAUUCUCAGGCCGUGGACAUCUGAUAUAUCUGCGUCUCAGACAUCACCUUACUGGUAUACUUCCGCUGCGAUGGCUAUGACCCCAUCUGCUUCUGAUUCAAGGGAUUGCAUGACUUUCCUGCAGAGAAAGCCAUUUUAUCCUCAUGACCAAGAAGCUCCUUUAUGAUAUGCAGACUUUUACACCAAAGCUCCUUCUCCUAGCAUAUUGUCCCAUUUUGGGGGAGACAUGGGAAAAUUUGGCUCUCCUUCCUCCCCAGUCCAGGAAAACGGGAGACCUUGUAAAGCCGGUCCUGGCCCCUUAUUUUCCUGGAAUUAUACGUCGUCAUCUUUGCUCCACUACUACUGUAUCGUGCUGUGAUGGGUAGUCAUUGCAAGCCUACUACCUGCCAGGGUCACAAAUGGCAAGUGGGGAACAAGUUCUCUACAUUGUCAGGUGCCCCAAAACUUAUCUAGGGGCCUGUGGUUCUAUUGUUUCCCUCCUGUGGCAGAUAGUAUUUUCAGAAAAUGACUACAGUAAUAUUUUUCAAGUCAUAUGCUCUUCUUGCAAUGUGACUUUGACACUCCUUUCACAGAGAAGUGAUUUAGGAAAUAAUACUGGAAUCACUAUUCCCUGCCCUUGAGCAUAGAGAAUGUGACUCAGCUGGAGCUGGACUCACAAGGGCUGACAAGGACACAUCAACUGGGCCCUAAGGUAUAAAGACAAUAGCUAGGAUAAUCUUGGAAAAUAUCUUUUAGGGAACCUUUCAUAUAAGCCAGUCAAACAGAACACAGAAGACUUUCCACUAUCUUUUUUUAUUAGCAUUUAGAGAAUAGAAAAUUUGUUCAACCAGUGAAGACCCUCCUGACUGUCAUUACUGAAACCCGUCCUAACGAUUGUUAAGAAAGACAAUUCAAAAUGUAGGAUCACAGGUUCUAGCCAAUCUGUGAAAGGGUGAAGCUUUCAAUGGUUUUGCUCAUUUUGUAAUGUCAAUAUAUACAGAUAACUCUCUAACGUUCUUUGGACUCGGGCAGACAUGGCUGUGGCAGCAUGCUUGCCCGAUUUUCUCGCUUUUGUCUUUUCUGUAAUAUUUCCUUGGCCUCAGGCAGACAUGGCUCUAGCAGCAUGCUUGUCCACUUCCCACUUUUGCUUUUUUGAAUAUAUGCGGAAUAAAACUUUCUUCUUGCUUUACUAAACUUUGUGAUGUUUUUAUCCUACAACAGUUAAUGGCAUAGUCGUCAAGGGUUUCUGAAGCUACGAAUCCAUGUGAACUUGAGGAGACCUGGACUUUGGAGCAGAAGCUGACAAAAGAGGUCCUGUCUCCUGGACCCACGUGUUCCCACUCCAUGUCCCUUCAACAUCAAUAGGACUUAAAAGGCAAAAGAAGGCCUUGGGCUGAAAAGUUAAUGUACAUUAAGUCUGAUCGCUUCAGCAAUGCAAUUGGUGAGAACAUCGUUCUUACUUAAAAUCCUGGUGAAGAAUCAGAUGGUAUCCAGUGGAACACCAGCACCAUGAAUUUAAAGAACCUGCAAUGGCCACCAUCUAGGAGCUCAACUAAAUCCACGUAUUGACCAUCGAUGCGUUAUCUCCAAUCGCCAAUCAACAGGAGGAAAUGAUUUGGGAAAUAAUAUUGGAAUCAUUAUUCCCUGUCCUUGAGCAUAGAGAAUGUGACACAGCUGGAGCUGGACUCACAAGGACACAUCAACUGGGCCCUGAGGUAUAAAGACAGUAGCUAGGAUAAUCUUAGAAAUUAUCUUUCACAUAAGCCAAUCAAACAGAACACAAAAGACUUUCUACUCUUAUCUUUUUCUAUUAGCAUUUAGUGAAUAGAAAAUUUGUUGAAACAAUGAAGACCCUCCUGACUGUUCAUUACUGAAACCUGUACCAGUAAUUGUUAAGAAAGACAAUUCAAAAUGUAAGAUCAAUCUUUCUAGCCAAUCUGUGAAAAGGUAAAGCUUUCAAUAGUUUUGCUCAUUUUAUAAUGUUAAUAUAUACUGAUGACUAUCUAAAGUUCUUUGGACUUGGGUAGGCAUGGCUGUGGCAGUAUGCUUGUUGCCUUCCCACUUUUGUCUGUUCUGUAAUAUUUCCUUGGCCUCUGGCAGGCACAGCUCUGGCAGCAUGCUUGUCUCCUUCCAACUUUUGCUUUUUUAAACACAUACAGAAUAAAACUUUUCACUAAACUUUGUGACGUUUUUACCCUACAACAGAAGUCAGGCGGG